AUGCUUUACUUCAGAAGAGCACCUGGUACCAGAAAUGAAAGAUCAGAUCUAAAGAUGAAAUUCUUGUGGUGUCUUAUUACAUACAUUGGUCUGACUCUGCAGGACAAUGUCGCUCAGUUUCCAAGCAUUAUCUCAGAAAGUCAAGGUGGUGAGACAACUUUAAAGUGCACUUACGAAUACACUGGUAGCUCAGCUACAGUUUAUCUCCAGUGGUACAAACAAAGUUUACCUGGAGUCCCUCAGUAUAUAAUACAGCGUUACAGCAGUGGCCAGGACAGUACUGAAUUAAAAGAAAAAGACAUUGGAACUCGUUUCUCAACAUCUCUUGACACAUCUCUCAAGAAUACAUCUUUAACAAUCAAACAAUUGGUGCUAAGUGAUUCAGGAAUGUAUUAUUGUGCUCUGAGGCCCACAGCUGUGCAACUUUAUGUUAAUGCUUUAUCAUAACCAUAUACAGUUCCACCCAUUUUAUAUUAACAGUGUUUGUACAGUAUGUUGUCAAAACUAAUUAUGACUAACCUUUUUAUGUAGUUAGUGUUUG